GACGAACGCUGGCGGCGUGCUUAACACAUGCAAGUCGAACGAUGACGACCGAGCUUGCUCGGUCUGAUUAGUGGCGAACGGGUGAGUAACACGUGAGCAACCUGCCCUUCACUCUGGGAUAACCUCGGGAAAUCGGGGCUAAUACCGGAUAUGAGCUCCUGUCGCAUGGCGGGUGUUGGAAAGUUUUUCGGUGAAGGAUGGGCUCGCGGCCUAUCAGUUUGUUGGUGAGGUAGUGGCUCACCAAGGCGAUGACGGGUAGCCGGCCUGAGAGGGCGACCGGCCACGCUGGGACUGAGACACGGCCCAGACUCCUACGGGAGGCAGCAGUGGGGAAUAUUGCACAAUGGGCGAAAGCCUGAUGCAGCGACGCCGCGUGAGGGAUGACGGCCUUCGGGUUGUAAACCUCUUUCAGCAGGGAAGAAGCGAAAGUGACGGUACCUGCAGAAGAAGCGCCGGCUAACUACGU
rnacentral:rRNA from 1 species